GCGGCCUAAUACCUCAUGGCCUCCGAGCUUGACAUCAACCUUGGAGUAAAGAUUCAUUGGCCGUGGGAUGGGGAUGCGUCUGAUUAGCUUGUUGGCGGGGCAACGGCCCACCAAGGCUACGAUCAGUAGGGGUUCUGAGAGGAAAGCCCCCACAUUGGAACUGAGACACGGUCCAAACUCCUACGGGAGGCAGCAGUGAGGAAUAUUGGUCAAUGGGCGAGAGCCUGAACCAGCCAAGUAGCGUGCAGGAAGACGGCCCUAUGGGUUGUAAACUGUCUUUUAUAUGGGGAUAAAGUGAGUUACGUGUAGCUUAUUGCAGGUACCAUAUGAAUAAGGACCGGCUAAUUCCGUG
rnacentral:rRNA from 1 species